UCAUGAAGAACUGUAACAAUAGCCACACUUUUAUUUUCUGUAAUGCAGAGAUAUCAUUUUUGAUUAAGAAAAUACCAUCCAUAUAUAAAACAAGAAAUACAAUCAUCAAACUAUUAGCCCACUUGUAUAUACAGGGUUCCUCUCCAUUCUUAACGAAGCCAUACGUUCUGAUCACUUUAUCAAAACAUAUGUUCCAACUCUGAGAUGUCUGUU
rnacentral:lncRNA from 1 species